UGUCACAACAUGCUCCAGCCAAGGAUAAAUGAAGUUUUGAAACAGGCCAGGCUUCCUUCCUCAGAGUUUGCACGCAGCUAAUCUGAGGAAACGGAAAGGUUUCCACCAAAGUGAUGAGUUUUACCAAGCUCUGGCUGAUCUGACUUUUAGAAGUUUUAGGUGGAUGGUAUAGCUAGCAACGGGGUGUCUAAAGCAGCCUUUAACAUGGCCACUAAGAAUCUCAGCAGUGGACUUGGACAAGAAGAAUCUAACGUGACAGACAUCUCCCUGCUCCUGAAGGUGGUUGAGGAGGAAUGCCAGAGGUGUGCUGUUUCCCUUCUGCAGUUAUCCCCGUCUGUGGACUAGUUUGGAAAAGGGAAACUAAUGUUUGGAAGAGGGAAACUGUGUCCUUUAUGUCCUUGGAGAACUAAUCCAGCUCUUUCUGGAUUGAAGGUGUGUCUGGCCAGAACAGUUCAGAGAGAAGCCUUUUUUCUUCUCCUGCGUACCCGCAUAGGUCUGGUCCCCUGUUUUAACUUGAUCCAUAAUCUUUAACAUCCAUGGGAAUUUCAUGUCAGCAUUUAAGCCCUGGGAAUACAGAACAAUGCAAGUGGAAAAUCUCAGUGCGGCUGAAUUUUGACAGGAGAACCAGGUAAUUUUUAUAUCUGGUAGUGCUGGAUGAGCAAGAGUUUUUCGUAAUUGUCAGUUGUAAUUGUCAACUAUUCUGUUGUAUUUCAAAGUGCUUGUUUUGAAACUGUCCCUUCUUUACCAAUGGCAUUUUGAUGGAUGGAUGAUAUGAAAACACUGGGUUGAAAGAAACACCAUAAAUAUAUUCAGCCAAGCAAAACCAAUACGUGUAUUUACAGGAGGAUAAUUGUCUGUGGGGUAGCAGUCAUGGAGCAAAGGCCAUUGUUUUCUCUACUGAAUGCUCUGCCACUUGUCGCAAUCAUUUUUACGAUGAUGAACACUAUUUCUCAAUCAGUGGGUUGUGAAGUUGCAUGUUUUCCAAUUAAAUUUUGUGUAUUUAAAGAUAAGUGUAAAGAUAAGUGUGCUGAGCUAAGUGCUUAGGAAGCAGAGAGAGAGUGGAUUAACGAAUGGGGCCAAAGGAGAGUGUAUUUGCAACAAGAUUUUCAGCUUUUUACAUAUGUAAUAGUUUGAAUCCA